rnacentral:misc_RNA from 1 species
AGCAUCUCUUCUCAAGCAACUAAAUCCCAAAAGUUUAAAACAUUAAAACUAUUAAAUUAUUCAGGUAUAUGGUGGAGAGCAAAUCGACGAAGUUCCUACAUUCAUUAAUGAAAGUUCAAAUCAUGAAAACUAGAGUAGGGAGAAUGUGAAAAAGCCUGAUAUUAACAUCACCAAAGCCAGCGUCAAAUUUCCAGUAUUUGUCCAGCCCACUGGAAGGAAAUCAAAAUGAGAUAAGAUCAUCUUUUGGUGAUUGUUGCUUCUUUGAGUCAUGUCCUGAUUCAGAUGUGCCCCCCGCUUUUUUACCAAAAAUCAUCUCAUCAAGAUCAUCCAUCAUGUCA